CAUGGCUUCAGCUGCUCUCUCCUCAAAUAAAUGUUCCUGGUGAAAUGCACUGAGGGCAAGGAGUGGCCCUCUGUCACAGGCCCACAAAAUACCUGUAGGCCCCUGCGUGUACCAGGGAAGCUGGACAAGCCCUGCUUGCUCCCACCACCUUGUUUUUUUCCCAAAUUGUCCCUCUGAGGGCCGAAGCCCUCAGAGAAACUGGGCACCAGCAAAGUGCCCAAGGAGAGAUGGCAUCGGUGCCACACACUGGAACAAGGCAGAGCCGGCAGGGCAGCCAUGCUGGCCCUGGGUGGGGCUGCCAGCAGCCUGGGCCGAGCCUCCCUGGCUCCCAGGGGAGGCUCCUCUGACACUCUGUGUCCCGGGGAUUGGGAGGGAAACCCAGCAUGAGAAGGAGAAGGAGAGCCAGGGGAGGCACAGGAUUUUUUCAUUAUUCUCCAGGGAGGGAAAAGCAAACACUCUCAGAGUAGCAGCUAGGUUCCAGUGGUGCUGGGACCAAGUUUGGUGGCACACUCCAAGUACACCUGCUCAGGGAGAAUCACCUCUCUUCAUUUUUGUCAGAACACUACACUUGGAAUGGACACUUCCCCUGAGACAGCUGCUGUGUUUACCAUCCUCAAGAAACAAAAUGCCAUUGCUUCUUCAAUGCAAAACCCAAGUGCAGGCACAACUAAAGGCACAACAAUGACUGAAGUGGCCAAAUGUUGACUAGGAAAUCUUUCUGAGCAACACCAAUAGAGAUUUUCCAUCUUCUGAACACACAGCACCACCAGCCAUCUGCUACAUGGGAGCUCUAUAACUGGAGCUGACUGAAGCUUAGUCAAAAGCAUUGGCAGAUGGCAGGAGGGGCCCUGGGAUUUAGGGACAGGUGAAAGCUUUGGGGCAGCAGGUUGGUUGCUCCUGGCAGAUCCUAAAAUGUGGAUCCUAAAACUCGGCAGCAGAGCUGGGCCUUCCUCUGCCUCUCCCACUAAUCUCUCCCAGCAACUUUCUUUGCUUAGAUCUGAGCUGGCCUUCCUCUUAUGGAAAAAAUGAAAUUAUGCCAUUUGGUAGGUGAUAUUUCAGUCCAAAAGCUAAGGAAUACUUAUAUUUUACUUAUAUGGGAAGCUGGGAACUUCAGAAAAGAAAGAAAAAAAGGGACAAUGAUGAUGGAUCAGUGGUAGAAGGGAUUCUGCAGAACAGAAAGAAUCUUUUAAUAAGUUUUUAUUUUCUGUAUUUUGGGAAAGAGACAUAUAAUGUAUACAUACCAGAAGAUGGUGACGAUGUUGAUGGUGAUGAUGAAUGGUAAUGUCCCUUCCCAACUCAGGAGGAAAUCAAGUGGCAGCUCCAAAAGGCAGGCAUUUUUAAAUGGAUGUGUUCAGUUAACUUCUGACAGAAGCUGCUGACAAACCUCUGAACUACCAGAAACUAUUUUCAAUAGCUGAUGGAAGUUGUGAAGUGCCAGAGGUCUGCAACAAAGGCAGUGCUGUACAAUAUUUAAAAGCAUGAGUUAACCUGAGCAAUUACAGGUCUGUCAGCCUGACAUUCAUUUUGGACAAAAUAAUAAGCUAUUUUGUCAGCUGACAUGGAAUUUGUAGACAAAAACAAUUAAGGGAAUGGGGCAAUGUAAGGGUUACCAAUUAUUAUGUGUUUGUGGAAACUAGGUGUUUCCAUUUCAGUUAUCCAAAUCAUCUCUUAUAAUUGAAUUUAUAAUCUUGGUUAUCAAAAGUAAUAUAGUCAAUGCAAUACUAGUCUGUUUCCACAGGACAUCUACCUUCAUUUUGCAUGAGAUUUUGGCUAUGAAGCAGGAAUGAUAAGAAUCAGUACUGCAGACAUAAAAUAGAUCUGGCUGGUUGGUUUCAACAUACACUUGCAGUAAAAGAACACUAAUUGACUGGGUGUCUCUUUAUUGUGUCCCAUAAGGAUCUGUCCUUAGAUUUUACAAGUUAACAUUAAUCAGUGACCUGGAAAAACAAAAAUACAAAAGCAUUACCAAUAACAUUUACAAAUGACAGAAAGAUUGGGAGACAAGUUACCAAUGCAGCCUGAUCUAGGUUAAUCAGUAAACUGGACAGAGACAAAGAAAUAUACAGUUAAAUACACACAAAAAUUUAAAUUUUUGGGAGCUAAAUAUGCUGCAUAUAUGGGAUAUUGGAGUCCAUCAUGGGAUGCAAUUAUGAUAAUUAUAAUAGAUAAGCACUAAAGGUAAUGCUGUGGCUAAAAAAACCAACAGAAUUGGAGUUUAGCUAUAUGAAUGUGGUACUGUAGCAAUAGUACCACUUAGCUCUAUUUCAGAGUAUCAAGGCUGCUUCUGCACAGAUAUCCAGCAUUACAAGAUGAUGGAAAAAUGAUGCAAUCUCAAAGAGUAGCCAUCAAGAUCAUGAAAGAAGAAGAUGUGACUUUAAGUGAGCUAUACAAGGGCAAAGCCUCCUUCUCAGACCAAAAACAAAAAAACAAACUCCAAAGCACCAUCCAAAGGUAAAGCAUUAAGCAGCUUUUAAUUGUAGAAGGAAUUAAAAUCUAGAACAACAUUUCAAGAGAAAUAUUGCUAUUAAGGAACUUACCAGGUUGGAUUUCAAAGUGGGUUAAGUGCUCAUGUACAAUUAUACAAUGUAAGAAGACCUUGAAGAAAAUAUUUGGAGAGCUGUAUAAUUUUUAAGUUGAACUUUGUCUUGGGAAACUUCUGCUCAAUUAGCGUUAAGUCUAGACCUCUGUUGCUACUCUGCAUUCCUAAAACAUGUCUCCUAUUUCAAAACAGUUGAGGUUCUCAUAGCACCACAAUUUCUACAACACUUGGAAGCAUCUUUAAAAAAUGGUGAAACUUAUUUCUAUAUCUCAUCAGUAGAGUUGGUCACACAGGUAUCCAGGCUAUUUAAGCACAAAGCGUGCAAUAUAGGAAUUGUCCGUAAGAGCGCUCUAGACUGUAAAUCAAGAUUAAAUAAUUUUACAGCUCUAAGUCCUUGAGUGGCUAGAGUUUGAAAUGCUAAUGCCAUUAUCUCUAAGGCAUUAGUUGAGAAAGUUUCAGUGUGAUGCUACAAACUCAAUGAGGCCUCUGCAGACAUAAAAGUUCAAAUCAAGCACUUCAGCAUUUAGAGCACUCAUCAGAGAAGCGGGCGAUAUAGCUUCAAUUUCAACAUGAGAGAGAAAGAAAAUACAUCUUUCACAUAGAAGAGUGGCUUAAUCACUGAAGGAGGUGUUUCUUGAGCUGGACUCUACUGGCUCUGUCUGCAAUGGGGUGAACUUUUCAUACCAGCCUGUAUGGGGCUGUGUUUUGGAUUUGCAGCUAUUUGGAUUCACUUUUGCUCUACCCAUUUUCACUCCUUGUCCCCUUGGUACAGAGUGGGGAGGAGUGUGCAAGUGGCUGUGUGGGUGGUUGACCACUGGUCAGAAUCAAUCCUCCACUUGGAAAAAUGAAUACAUAAGUAGUUAUUGCAAAAUUCAGCAGUGUCACAUUUGACAGUAAUGCUUAAAAAAAUUAUAUUCUCAGCUUCUCAGGGAAGAGUUGAUCCAGAACCUCUUCAGUUAGUGUGAUCAGUGAGAUAACAUUUAUAAUAAGAACCUCUCUCAUGUGUCCUUCCUUGGCUCUUAAGAGUGGCCCAGGAUAAAACAUUUUCUUGAUGUUGAAAUAAUUCCAGUUGUCCAAAGCACUUUUCCAUAAUUAAUACAUGAAUUAAUCACUUAUGUCUAUAGCCUAGGCGCAGUAAAUCACCAUUUCAAGCUGCAUUAGGCUUAAGGUAAAACAUUUCUUGUUUUGUUUUGUUCUCUUCAUUUAACCUUGACACAUAUUUAGAUCCCUCUUUUCUAUUGGGUCUACUCCUAAUUAGCAGUGAAGCAGAACUUCUUGCUACUUAUAGAACUUAAAUGCUCUGGAUAAAAUCAAAGUUGCAGAAAUUAAAGGUAAAGCAUCUGUGUUUGCAGGUGUGCUCCACCCCUUCCCUCUUUUUAUUAAAAUGUAUGCUUUUGCCUAUUGGUGCUCCUGACUACGGUAUAGAGAACACUCUUUUCCCUUUAUUCUAAUUAACAAUGGACUUUGUCACCACAAAGAUCAUUAGCAGCAGCAUAAAGUUUCCCUGAGACUGAAAUUCAAAUAUGCAUUGCCAUGGAGCAAUUCUUUAUAGAGAUUCACACUUUUAGAAUGUAUUCCUGAAAUUUUUCUACACAAAAUAAGGCAAACUGAAGAAAUAUUGUUUCCAUUUGUAAGAUGUACGGGCUUUCCCUCAGGUUCUGUGUUUUAUAACCCUCUUUCCUCAUAUGCAUGAACAUUUUGCUUAUAUGCAUGUAUAUUUGCCUUGAAAUUGUAUAAUAAUUAAAACCAAACUUCUUCCUACAGAAAUCAGUGGCAAAUCUUUAAUGGACAUCAAUGAAAUCAAAUUGAAAGUUAAUCUUAUUCCUAUAUUAAAAUAAUCUAGAGGGAAAAAGCCAAGUACAAUCUAAUUGUAAUGACUACAAAGCUUUUUUAAAAUUCUUUGCCUAUCUGAAAACUAAGUUUUCAGCUUAGUCAGCUCAGGCACCUAGCUUUUUUCAGUCUAAAGAAAAUGCACUUGCUAUUGACUGAGGGCAUGAUCAUACAAUCUGUGUGGUUCAGAGAUCCUUAUGCCUGGUUUUCCAAACUACAAAAAUCUGGUGCAUGAUGUUAAAAACAUGAAAAGAACAGCACUGAAGAUGAGUGAUUUUGCAGUACUUGUAUGCUUUUCCAGAAGGCACUACGUUCUGAAAAUGAUGAAAAGUCAACUGAGCAUUUUAGAGACUGUUCUAAGUAUCAGUAUAGAUUCUGAGAUACAGGCCUGGGAGACGGAGUUGUAGGAAAGACUAGGAGGCAACAUACAGAAAGGUACAGGCUGUGAUUAUUAUGGGAUGGGAUGAUGAGACCUGGAGUCAGAGGCAAAGACAGGUAGAAGAUUCCUACAGGAUAUUUCCCUUUUUCUAAGGUGCUGAAUCAGCAAAAGCAAAUGAUUCAACAAAAAUCCUAUCAUCUCAACAAAUUUCCCCCCUAAACAAGGCAGCCCAGUGCCCUUUCAUGGUAGCUUCCAUUCACCUCCUGCAUGCUGCUGUUAGAAAACAAAACCUGCCUACUAAGAAAUGAAGCACAGAUAGUGCUUAUUCUAAAUAAGCUCUAUAUCUUUUUUUUUUAAUUUCUGUUUCACAAGACAUUGUGUGUUCCAAAUUUUAAAUCAGUAUUUGUUAGAGGUUAGACAAUUUAGGAUAUCAUCCUUCAGAGUUAAAGUUUGUAGAAGCAUAAGAAGCCGGACAACACCAAUAAAGCCGAUAGCCUCUUACA
ensembl:lncRNA